AUUGAACGCUGGCGGAAUGCUUUACACAUGCAAGUCGAACGGCAGCACGGACUUCGAUCUGGUGGCGUGUGGCGAACGGGUGAGUAAUGUAUCGGAACGUGCCCAGUCGUGGGGGAUAACGUAGUGAAAAUUACGCUAAUACCGCAUACGAUCUAUGGAUGAAAGCGGGGGAUCGCAAGACCUCGCGCGAUUGGAGAGGCCGAUAUCAGAUUAGGUAUUUGGUGGGGUAAAGGCCCACCAAGCCAACGAUCUGUAGCUGGUCUGCGAGGACGGCCGGCCAGACUGGAACUGCGACACGGUCCAGACUCCUACGGGAGGCAGCAGUGGGGAAUUUUGGACAAUGGGCGAAAGCCUGAUCCAGCCAUUCCGCGUGCAGGAUGAAGGCCCUCGGGUUGUAAACUGCUUUUGUACAGAACGAAAAGGUUUCUACUAAUACUAGGAGCUCAUGACGGUACUGUAAGAAUAAGCACCGGCUAACUACGUGCCAGCCGCCGCCGUAA
rnacentral:rRNA from 1 species